AGCUAUCUGACGAGUCCCAAAUAGGACGAAAUGCGCGUUACUCUCGAU
rnacentral:hammerhead_ribozyme from 1 species